rnacentral:rRNA from 1 species
GAUGAACGCUGGCGGCGUGCCUAAUACAUGCAAGUCGAGCUAACAGACGAGGAGCUUGCUCCUCUGACGUUAGCGGCGGACGGGUGAGUAACACGUGGAUAACCUACCUAUAAGACUGGGAUAACUUCGGGAAACCGGAGCUAAUACCGGAUAAUAUAUUGAACCGCAUGGUUCAAUAGUGAAAGACGGUUUUGCUGUCACUUAUAGAUGGAUCCGCGCCGCAUUAGCUAGUUGGUAAGGUAACGGCUUACCAAGGCAACGAUGCGUAGCCGACCUGAGAGGGUGAUCGUCCACACUGGAACUGAGACACGGUCCAGACUCCUACGGGAGGCAGCAGUAGGGAAUCUUCCGCAAUGGGCGAAAGCCUGACGGAGCAACGCCGCGUGAAUGAUGAAGGUCUUCGGAUCGUAAAACUCUGUUAUUAGGGAAGAACAAAUGUGUAAGUAACUAUGCACGUCUUGACGGUACCUAAUCAGAAAGCCACGGCUAACUACGUG